rnacentral:rRNA from 1 species
GACGUAGGGCGCGAGCGUUGUCCGGAUUUAUUGGGCGUAAAGAGCUCGUAGGCGGCUUGUCGCGUCGUCCGUGAAAACCCACAGCUCAACUGUGGGCUUGCGGUCGAUACGGGCAGGCUAGAGUUCGGUAGGGGAGACUGGAAUUCCUGGUGUAGCGGUGAAAUGCGCAGAUAUCAGGAGGAACACCGGUGGCGAAAGCGGGUCUCUGGGCCGAUACUGACGCUGAGGAGCGAAAGCGUGGGGAGCGAACAGG